UAAAUGCGCCCGCCCAUGAAAACCCACCACCUUAUCACCAUCCCUCCCAUCCCAACGCCACCUGGGGCCAUGGCCACUCCCCACUCCCUCUUCCUCCUCUUCAUCCUCCUCUUUUCCACCUCCAACGCCGCCGACCUCCGCAUCUUCCACGCGGAGCGCCACUCCCCGACGCCUCUCGAUUCAGUCCUUUCGCUCGCGCGCAACGACCUCACCCGCCUCGCCUUCCUCUCCCGGAAAGUCACCUCCGUCCCCGUCGCCUCCGGCCAGCAGGUGCUGCAGUCCUCCUCCUACGUCCUCCGCGCUAAGCUCGGCUCCCCCGGGCAGCUCCUCCUUCUCGCCCUCGACACCAGCGCCGAUGCCGCCUGGACCUCCUGCUCCCCUUGCUCCACCUGCCCCUCCUCCUCCGCCCUCUUCCUCCCUGCUAACUCCUCCACCUACUCCCCCCUCCCCUGCUACUCCUCCUGGUGCCCCCAGUUCAAGGGCCAGUCCUGCGCCGCCGACUCCGCCCCUUCCCCAUGCACCUACUACCAGCCCUACGGCGGCGACGCUGCCUUCACCGCCACUCUCUCGCAGGACUCCCUCACCCUCGCCUCCGACGUCAUUCCCAACUACCUCUUCGGCUGCGUCACCGCCGUCAACGGCAGCUCGGCCAACCUGCCGAAGCAGGGCCUGCUAGGGUUGGGCCGAGGGCCCAUGUCUCUCUUGGCUCAGACCGGCCCGCUUUACCAGGGCG
rnacentral:lncRNA from 1 species